UGGGGAAUAUUGGACAAUGGGCGAAAGCCUGAUCCAGCAAUGCCGCGUGAGUGAUGAAGGCCUUAGGGUUGUAAAGCUCUUUUACCAGGGAUGAUAAUGACAGUACCUGGAGAAUAAGCUCCGGCUAACUCCGUGCCAGCAGCCGCGGUAAUACGAAGGGGGCUAGCGUUGUUCGGAAUUACUGGGCGUAAAGCGCACGUAGGCGGAUUUGUCAGUCAGGGGUGAAAUCCCGAGACUCAACCUCGGAACUGCCUCCGAUACAGCAAGUCUCGAGUCCGGAAGAGGUGAGUGGAAUUCCUAGUGUAGAGGUGAAAUUCGUAGAUAUGCGGAGGAACACCGAUGGCGAAGGCAAUCCCCUGGACCUGUACUGACGCUCAUGCACGAAAGCGUGGGGAGCAAACAGGAUUAGAUACCCCCGUAGUCCCUGAGCGGGCUGGCAAGGCGCAU
rnacentral:rRNA from 1 species